UUCUGAUCUGGAGAAUGUAAAUUAUUGUUUAGUGGGGACAGAUCUCAGUUUGGGAAGAUGAAGAAGUUCUGGAGAUGGAUGGUGGUGAUGGUUGCACCAUGUGAAUGUACUUAAUGCCACUGAAAUGUACACUUACCGAUGGUCACCAUGGUAUAUUUCAUGUGAUGUAUAUAUUUCAGCAGAAUGAGAAACAACCAGUGCUUCUCAGCAUGCUCGACAGUGCCUGGCCCCAUGAUGAGGACCAAGCCUGUCGUGCUGAUGACAAACAGUGAAGACGAACUUCCUCUGUUGCUCCAGUGGGCGCAGCCCUGGCACUGUCUCCAGUGACGGUGCAGAGACAGGAGGCUCAUUAACAAUACAUCUCAGAAUCUGUACUUCCAAAUGAGCUCGGUCUCCUCUGAUGCACAGGUGGUGAAGCCACCAUGGAGGCCACAGAGUAAACCUCUGGGGCUUUGUGCGCCUCACAGUCUA